rnacentral:lncRNA from 1 species
CGGGGACAUUGGGUUCUUUCAGAGUUGGGAGCUUGCGGCGGCAUUCUUAGCAUGCUUGAACCUCCAGACAGUGAGCUGGCUCUGGCAAUGCAUAUAUCAGCUUCAUCAUCUAUGUGGACAUCUCUGGAAAGUAUACUGCCAAGGAAAGACUAGUAGCCCUGUGUGACAGCUUGCUCAACCUUUCUCAGAGCUGUUUUCCUCCAUCUGCUACCCAGGUCUUACCUGUGGCUCCAAGAAGGUUUGAACUUCAAAGUUUCUGUGCAGCACUCAUCUAUACAUCAUGAAAUGCUUGGAAGUCCUCUAUUGUCUUACAAAUUCAUUUUUUCCCAGUUGAA